rnacentral:rRNA from 1 species
GACGAACGCUGGCGGCGUGCUUAACACAUGCGAGUCGAACGGAAAGGCCUGCUUUCCCUUGUGGAUUGCGGGUGCUCGAGUGGCGAACGGGUGAGUAACACGUGAGUGAUCUGCCCCCAACUUGGGUAUAAGCCUGGGAAACUGGGUCUAAUUCCCGAUAGGACUGCAGGGUGGUGCCUGUGGUGGAAAACGAUUUUCUAGUGGUUGGGGAUGAGCUCGCGGCCUAUCAGCUUGUUGGUGGGGUAAUGGCCUACCAAGGCGGCGACGGGUAGCCGGCCUGAGAGGGUGGACGGCCACAUUGGGACUGAGAUACGGCCCAGACUCCUACGGGAGGCAGCAGUGGGGAAUAUUGCACAAUGGGCGGAAGCCUGAUGCAGCGACGCCGCGUGGGGGAUGACGGCCUUCGGGUGGUAAACUCCUUUCGACCGCGAGGAAGCCACCUGGUUGGAAGGGUGGUGACGGUAGUGGUAGAAGAAGCACCGGCUAACUACGUG